UGAAACUGCUCGGAAGGCAAACGGGUGGGCCCUCGAAAUCCUCUUGCGGGGAGAUUCAGUCGGGAGCCGGAGAGGCGGCAGCGGGCGACGGACCCUCGAGAGGGACGGUCCCCGCGCCGCGGUCUCGCCGGCGCCCGACGCACUUCUCCCCGCACUCCGGACGCCGCAAUGGAUCGGGUAGCUGCGAGAGUCGGCCUUGGGGCCGCCCCAGGCAGGUGGCCGGAUCGCCGGCACCCGUGCCGGCCCUCCGGUUAUUCACGGGGCGGUCGCGUGGCGCGACACCCGAUCGAGGUCGACGUUCCCCCUGCGGGGAACACUCCGUCUCCGUCUCCUCGAGGCGCGGCGGCCGGGACAGUGUGCGCCGACGCUGCCGAACCACUCCCCGUAGUGGCCGGCGCUGCGGUACGCCGUCGUUGGUCUGCGGAACCGCCGCGGAGGGACGCCGCGGAUUGCGGCGAGUAGGUCGGUCACCCACCCGACCCGUCUUGAAACACGGACCAAGGAGUCUAACAUGUGCGCGAGUCGCAGGGUCUUGCUCAGGCCCCCGGGCGCAAUGAAAGUGACGGUCCCCCGGACCGGGCUGGGACUCCCGCCGCCGCGGCGGCGGGAGGCACCAGCGACCCGUCCCCUCCGACCCGUCGGUGGGGCGGAGUCAGAGCGCACACGUUGGGACCCGAAAGAUGGUGAACUAUGCCUGGGCAGAACGAAGCCAGAGGAAACUCUGGGUGGAGGUUCGCAGCGGUUCUGACGUGCAAAUCGAUCGUCAGACCCGGG
rnacentral:rRNA from 1 species